rnacentral:rRNA from 1 species
UACGUAGGGUGCGAGCGUUGUCCGGAAUUAUUGGGCGUAAAGCGUGCGUAGGCGGUCAUUCAAGUCUGGUGUUAAAGCUAGAGGCUCAACCUCUGUGUUGCACUGGAAACUGGAUGACUUGAGUGCGGUAGGGGAAGGUAGAAUUCCGAGUGUAGCGGUGAAAUGCGUAGAUAUUCGGAAGAAUACCGGUGGCGAAGGCGACCUUCUGGGCCGCAACUGACGCUGAGGCACGAAAGCGUGGGGAGCAAACGGG